rnacentral:rRNA from 1 species
GAUGAACGCUGGCGGUGUGCCUAAUACAUGCAAGUCGAGCGAACAGACGAGGAGCUUGCUCCUCUGACGUUAGCGGCGGACGGGUGAGUAACACGUGGAUAACCUACCUAUAAGACUGGGAUAACUUCGGGAAACCGGAGCUAAUACCGGAUAAUAUAUUGAACCGCAUGGUUCAAUAGUGAAAGACGGUUUUGCUGUCACUUAUAGAUGGAUCCGCGCCGCAUUAGCUAGUUGGUAAGGUAACGGCUUACCAAGGCAACGAUGCGUAGCCGACCUGAGAGGGUGAUCGGCCACACUGGAACUGAGACACGGUCCAGACUCCUACGGGAGGCAGCAGUAGGGAAUCUUCCGCAAAGGGCGAAAGCCUGACGGAGCAACGCCGCGUGAGUGAUGAAGGUCUUCGGAUCGUAAAACUCUGUUAUUGGGGAAGAACAAAUGUGUAAGUAACUAUGCACGUCUUGACGGUACCUAAUCAGAAAGCCACGGCUAACUACGUG